rnacentral:rRNA from 1 species
UACGUAGGGUGCGAGCGUUGUCCGGAUUUAUUGGGCGUAAAGGGCUCGUAGGCGGCGUGUCGCGUCGGGAGUGAAAGCCCGUUGCUUAACGGCGGGUUGGCUUUCGGUACGGGCAUGCUGGAGUGCGGUAGGGGAGAAUGGAAUUCCCGGUGUAGCGGUGAAAUGCGCAGAUAUCGGGAGGAACACCGGUGGCGAAGGCGGUUCUCUGGGCCUUACCUGACGCUGAGGAGCGAAAGCGUGGGGAGCGAACAGG